rnacentral:lncRNA from 10 species
CAGCUUAACUUCUUGUGAUGUCUCCCUCAUCACCUACCUGAUCACAGUGAUGAGCAACCUGGGCAUGAAUAUUUUGACCAAACUAGACUCCCACCUAUACACACCUGUUGUAUAUUUUUUAAUCAAACACAUAUUUUUCAUUGAUUUUUACAAUUGUAUUGUUAUUUACACCAAUAAAAUGUUAAAUUUUGUUGUGGAUCAGAAUAACAUUUCCUAUUAUGCAUGUGCCACACAUAUGACUUUCUUAUGUUCAUUAUCACUGAACUUUUAAUCUUGGUAAGCAUGGCCUAUGAUUGCUAUGUGGUGAACUCCAACCCUUUGUUUUACAUUGUUAUCAUGUGUCUGUGACUGUAACAUGUGCUGAUGAGCAUUCCAUACCUCUGUAAUACAUUUCAAUCUCUAAUUAUCACAAUGACCUUUUUUUGACCUUCUGUAGCUUUAUCAUCAGUCAUUUCUAUUGUUAUGAUGUUCUCUUCUUCCAUAUGCUAUGCUCAAAUGCACAGGAAAGAGAAUUGUUGAUCACACUGCUUACAGCAUUUAAUUUGAUCCCUACCUCCUGGUAUUGCUAGUGUUAAACAUUCUGAUUUUGUUAGCCAUAUGUUGAAUGCAUUCUGCACUGGGCAGGAAAAAAGCUUUCUCCAUGUGUGGUUCUCAUCUUACAAUGGUGGUUAUGUUCUAUGGAUCUCUACUUUUUGAUAUGGAUAAAUGGCCUCCUUGUUCUACACUUUAAUGAUCCUCAGGUUUAACCUCUUGAUCUACAGCUUUAGCAACUUAGGGGUUAAAAAUGUCUUUUAUAGAGUCUUUAAGAAUUAGUGCAAACUUUGUCUUUACAGUACACUAUGGAACAUUGUUCCAAUAAAUUAUGAGAAAAU